rnacentral:rRNA from 1 species
AAUCAACGCUGGCGGCGUGCCUAACACAUGCAAGUCGAACGCGAAAGCCCCGCAAGGGGUUAGUAGAGUGGCAAACGGGUGAGUAACGCGUGGGUGACCUGCCUUCGAGUGGGGGAUAACGUCUCGAAAGGGACGCUAAUACCGCAUGACAUCCUGCCUUUGAAGAGGCGGAGAUCAAAGCCGGGGAUCGCAAGACCUGGCGCUUGUAGAGGGGCCCGCGUCUGAUUAGCAGUUGGUGGGUAACGGCUCACCAAGGCAACGAUCAGUAUCCGGCCUGAGAGGGCGGACGGACACACUGGGACUGAGACACGGCCCAGACUCCUACGGGAGGCAGCAGUGGGGAAUUGUUCGCAAUGGGCGCAAGCCUGACGACGCAACGCCGCGUGGAGGAUGAAGA